UUGGAGAUCAAAACACAGUUGAACAGGUUAUUUGGAGGGCCACUUAAACCAGUCACUCCGACAAAUUAAUUUUUAAAUAUCUCUACGACAUGUCGUCUGUGUGGAAAGGAAAGCAUACUAACAUGUUUCAAAUUAUUUUUACAACAUCCAGGCAGCCAUGAAAAUUUUGGAAAGACCAACACACAUUUGUAAAUCAUCUCCAGUGUGUGCAGGAUCCAGAUUCCUUCCAUUAUAUGGAUUUUUCAAGGCACAUUUUGAUUCUCUCCAAUUUCCUCCACAGCCUAGAAUUUUUUAAGGAGGUGGGAUACCUUUUUAAUUGUAGAAAAACUUACCCUUCCGUUUUUCUCCUAUAUUCGUAACACACACGAGCAGCAGAAGAAAUGCCACAAAUUAUCAAAAUGGGAAAUAGGACAUUUUUCAUUUUCUCUGAUCCCUGUCCUGAACCCAGUGCCCUUCCUCAGGAGCUAACUGGGACUGUGACCAGCAUGUUGGUGGAGCACGCACAGUGGUCCCCGUGGAGCUGAUGACCAGCAGGCCAGCUGCGAGCCACAGCCCCCUCUCAAGCUGCCCACCGACCAGGGAGCGGGGCCAGCUUUUCAGAAGAGUCGGUGUCCACCUGCGUGUCCUACACAAGGCAUCUCAUGCCUCUGCAGCAGUUGCACACUUAACUCACGAAGCAUUCAGGAUGAGAGGAACUGCUUGAAAAUAUUAGAAUAACCGUUCCACACCCUGGGUCAGUACACUUGGGCAAUUUACUAAAUCAUCAAAGGUAAAUGUGUAAAGGUGACAUACAAAAGCACUUGGAAAUGAGCCUGGAGGAUCUCCAACAUUUAUAGGUGGGAAGGAGAAGAAUUUUGGAUGAAAAGGAGGACCGUGGGCUAGAUACUGUUCUACGUUAAUAAAGUUUUUAAAGUUACUUAAUAAAAUUUUUUAAAAAGAUGAUUUCAUUGGAGAGAAAAAGCAUCUGACAAGAUCCAAUACCCAUUCAUAAUGAAACUACUCAACAAACUAGGAAUACAAAGAAACUCCCUCCACCAGAAAUAGGCUACCUACAAAAAUCCCACAGCCAACAUCAUGCUUCAUAGUAAGAGGGUGAAUAUUUUCCCCUUAAGAUGAGCAACAAGACAAGAACGUACAGUGACAUCACUUCUAUUUAACGUGGUAUUAGGGGCUUAGACAGGGUGGAAACAAAAGAGAAGUCACCAAGAUUGGAAAGGAAGUAAAACUAUCUCCAUUGGCAGAUGACAUGAUUUUCUCUGUCAACAUCUAUGGAAUCCACACACAAAAAAGACCAUUAGAGCUAAUAAGUGAGUUCCUUAAGGGUGCAGGAUUCAAGUUUGAUACAAAAAAAAAUCAGUUAUCUUAAUGUAGACACUAGCAAUGGACAAUAUGAAAAUGAAGUUAAGGAAACAUUAUAUUAUUUACAAUAGCACCACAAGGAAUCAAAUAUUUCAGAAUAGAUUUAUCCAAAGAAGUACAAGACUUACACACUGAAACCCAUACAAAUGCUUUCCAUAAAGCAUUGUUGUAAGAAAUUAAAGACACAAAUAAAUAGAAAAACAGAGCAUGUUCAUGAAUUGGAAGAGUUACUGAGAUGGUGCUAUAUGUUGGCUAAUUGAAUUUAAAUUAAAAAAAAAAAGAAAAUAAUACGUCUUAAAUUGGUCUACAGACUCAGUGUGAUACCUCCCAAAAUUUCAGCUGCCUGUUUUUGCAGAAAUGGACAAGCUGAUCCUAAAAGUAUUAUGAUAUUGCAAGGGAGAUGAAAUAGCCAAAACAAUCUAGGAAAAGAACGAAGGUGGAAGACUCAUACUUUCCAAUUCAAAAGUUACUACAAAGAGAAAACAGUAGUCUUUUUUGUGGUGCUAAAACAACUGGAUAUCCACAUGCCAAAGAAUUAACUUGGCUCCCUGCCUUUCACCAUACACAAAAAAUAGAAUCAAAAUGAAUAAUAGACUUAAAUGUAAAUGCUCAAAGUAUAAAACUCCUAGAGGAAACCUUCAUCUCUGUGACCUCAAAUCAAACAAGGGUCUGACUCUUUUAGAUAUAACUCCAAAACUCUGCUGGAGUUUUAGAUAUAACUCCAAAGACACUGCAGAAGAAAAU
rnacentral:lncRNA from 1 species